GUCUUUUUGAAAUAAUUUAAAGUCUAAUCUGCCCACUGAUAAAAAAUUAAAGGGCUGCAGUAUAAUGACUGUACAAAGGUAGCAUAAUCAAUAGUUUUUUAAUUGAAAACUUGUAUGAAAGAUUUGAUGAAAUAUAAACUGUCUCUAAUUUAUAAAUUGAAUUUUAUUUUUUAGUAAAAAAGCUAAAAUAAAUUUAAAAGACGAGAAGACCCUAUAGAGUUUUAUAUUUAAUUUUAUUAGAAGUUUAUAUAAAAAUUAAUAUUAAAAAUAAAAUUAAAUAUUAUAUUGGGGUGAUAGAAAAAUUAAAUUAACUUUUUUUUAAAAUUAAACAUAAAUAAAUGAUUAUAUGAUCCAUAAAUAAUGAUUAUAAGAAAAAAUUACCUUAGGGAUAACAGCGUAAUAUUUUUUUUUAGUUCAAAUAAAAAAAAAAGUUUGCGACCUCGAUGUUGGAUUAAGAUAAAAUUUAAAUGUAAAAGUUUAAAAGUUUUGAUCUGUUCGAUCAUUAAAAUCUUACA
rnacentral:rRNA from 1 species